GCUGAUUCUAUCUACAGGUAAGAAGCUUGGAUGUUUUCUCCCUGAUUUUGUCAUUUCUUUCCAACUUCCCAAAUGCAUGUCAUACAGCAGGGAAGAGGCAUCUCUCAUGUCUCAAAAAAGCUUAAUGGCACAGGUGGAUGUGGGCACUGAAUGUUGUACAGCAGUGGCAACCAGCCGGGAAAAUCCAUAGGAUCAUUUCAGACCGCAUUCAACACAGAUACUCAUGUAGCCCCGACGUUUCUUGUGAAGGGAAUUGAUGUAUUGCUUGAGGGGGUCGAUCUCUGGUUCUAAGGUGUUUUGUUUGUUUCCAUCGUGACUACCAGAAAAUUAUAGAAGGCCAGACGCAGUGGCUCAUGCCUGUAAUCCCAGCACUUUGGAAGGCUGAGGCUCUAGAAAUAGGGGUGAGAGGCCAGCCAGGUGUAGCAUGAAGGGCUGGACAAGAAGGGAGAGGCCUUCUGGGAUAAGAUGGGAAGGAGGCUGUACCCCACACCCUGAAGGUGUCUAUGAGUUCACAUGGCUCAGGAAUGGAGUUUUGGGGCCCUAGAUGUAGACAGCUGUGGCGAUGGAGGCCAAGGUUUUGGCCUGCUGUGGGGGUUGCAUUCACCUCCCCAUCUCCACAUGACGAUACCCCAGCAUUUACGAGGCAGCUCUGCUGACCUGGCCCAGGCACCGUGGUCCCCAACUUCAACGCAUCUGAAGCGUUGCCCAGGGAGCGCGUUAGAAAUGCAGAUUCCCUGGCCCCAUCC
rnacentral:lncRNA from 10 species